CCCGGAGUUUCGUAAGGUUUUGAAGGCCUUCGGAAGUGUGGCAUGUAAAUUCAGUAACCCACUGACAGCGUAAAGACGCAAUUUGUUUUCUAAUGUGUAGCUGUCAGUUAUAAACAUCAGUUUAUCGGAAUGUUCGGGUUUUUCCGGUUUCUUCUUAUAAUCGAUUCCGGUAUAGACAGUCCGUUUCGAUACUCAUCUCCAGCGGUUACUUUUUUG
rnacentral:ncRNA from 1 species